GGGGGAUNAAAAGUCGUAACGCAAUAGGCCCACCGGAAGGUGGGCCUGGUAAAU
rnacentral:rRNA from 1 species